UGGCUUACCUGGAAAAUUCAAUGUAAAUAGUUUUUACAUUGUUUUUAAAAUAUGCCAUUUGUUUACUUACCCCAGUAGCUAUUUCUUUGAAAAGAGAAAUAGCUCAGAGACCCGAUUCAGAAAAAUAAAAUUUUAAAGUUAGAUGCUGUUGCGCAUCAGGCGAAAUGAAAAAGAAAAUGACAAGAAGGAAAUGGAUGGCGUUGCCAUUAUAAAAGAAUAGGGAUCGUUCAAUCGUUAUUUGGCUACGGAUUUAUACAACCAUGGCUGAGUAGCCAUUUCGUAGCUACCCUAUCGCCAUCAAUAAGGUCCAUAAUAAAUAUUGGAAAUUUUAGGAAAAAUGGUGGCAAAAUGAAGCGACUAUAAAAAGGAGGAAAAUAGGAAAAUUGGCAACAUAGUGUUGCAAAAGAUCUAAGCAAGAAGACGGUCCAAAGUAGUUUUUAACACUAAAAAAAAGUGAAUAUUUAUAUGUGUGUUUACUUGUUAACAAAAAGUUCCCCAAAAUCACAAUAUUUUUUUUGGUCUCCACUGACUGCUGAGUGGGGAUCUGGUGUUAAAUGCCCGGUCCUUGGGUUUAAAUUGGCCGUUGAAUUUGAAGGUCUCCCUGUUUGGUGUCAUACUUCUGUUUGGUGUCCGUAUCUGAGGCAGCGGAAUUUGGGUCAAAA